AUAUUUAAUACCAGGGUUCAAGGUAUGUACCUUACACUCCCUUCAAAAUGAUAAAUGUAUCCGCAACAGAUGUAUCCUGUAUCCCCUUCCCCAAAAUAAUCCAUGUAUUCUGUGUGACCUGUUAUCUAUAGGUCAGUAUAAUGACGUAAACAAAAUUGUUUGUUACUGAUUAUAAAAGGGGCUCAUGUCACCCAUGUAAGGUGUGCUCUUCUCUGGCAUUAGUCGGGAAGAAACACCCGCUCAGCUGAACGACAAUAAAGGUGUGGUACCCGUC